ensembl:lncRNA
GCCGGCCCCAGCCGACAACCAGGCGCACCCUGGCUGGGGAGCAGGAGAGCCAGGAAGGGUGCGAGGCGGGGAGAGGAGGCGGCGGCGGCUCCCCGGGAAGGGCGCGGGGAGGAAGGGCUGAGGCGGGAGCGGGCGGGGAGGCGGUGGGAUGAAGCCUCACCUAGAGAAGCAGCGGAGUGGAGAGUGGGUGAGCUGCCCCCGAGAGACGGCAGUGCUGCUAAAAAAAAAAAAAAAAAACCAAAAAAAAUCCCAAACAGCCAAACCGUGAAGCAGUCAGCAGCCCCGAAAAGCAGGCAGCCAUUUAAAACAGACCGACAGCUACCUUGGCCGGCGCGCUCGGGAGCGGGGAAGCCCCGCAGCAUCCACCUGCCGCGGGAGCGGGGCCGAGGCAGCCCCGGCCGCCCCCGCCGCCGCCCUGGCACGGCCGCCCUGGCACUGCCGCCCUGGCACUGCUGCCCUGGCACUGCUCCCGGCGGGGGGAACAAACCGUGCCCCUCUCCCGGCGCUGGCAGCGCCUUAACGCCGCCACGCUGUGCCUUUGAGCUCAAGUACCUCUUGCAGGCUGGGAGCAUCUGCAUGUGCAAGGCAGAUCAGAGAAGGUGGGAAGUAUCAAAGAACAACUGGAAUUGGAAGGGAUCCAGAAGGAUCACCAGGUCCAACUCUCAAGUGAAUACAUACAGGGAUGGAACCCUUGACCUUGGUGUUAUCAGUGGCAUGCUCUGACCAAAUGGAAAGUUCUGUUUCACACACAGUAAGAGUUUCUCUAAUGAGAGGAUCAACUUUUGGUGCAGGACAGAAAGACUAAACCCAAAACAAACAUUUUCUCCCAUUUCUAGAUAUGUUGUUUGUUACACAUGGAGAAUAUUUUUCUUUGCUUUCUGGUAAACAGUAUUAAGGCACUGAUAUGAAACAUGAAGAAAACAGAACAAACUGCAAGAACAGAAAUGCCAGCUAGAUAAAUAGAAAUAAAACUUCGUGGGAAGAUUGGUCAAACAUUGGAACAGACUAGCCAAAAAUGUUCUGCAAGUCUAUCCUUGGAAACACUCAAAACUGAGGUAGUUUUGAGCAUAAGCGAAUUGAUUUGACAUUAAAGCUAGAUCCAACCUUUGAGCAGGGGGCUAGAACAGAUUACCUGUAGCAGUUCCUUUCAACAAUUAUUUUAGCAUGAAAGUAUAUGGUUCCUUUUCUUAUCUCAGAUAAACCAAAAGAGUAUCAAUAUCAUUAUAAUAAUACAAGCAAAAAGUAAGCAAUUAUGUUUUUUUUAUUUUCUUUUUCUUUUCUUUUUUUAGGACAUAAUAGAAAAUAAUCAGGACAAUAUUUUACUAGGGCAGAAACGUUAGUACAACUAGUAUUGUUAUCUGAUGAUAAAAAGCUAUUUGUCAGACAAUGUCAACUAGGAUUAUUUAGUAGUCUUUGGUUGCUGAAAAUGACAGACAUUCAAUAACACUCCCAGAGAAAUAAUUUUUGACUGAAAUUUAGCUGUUACAUCUGCCAUUGGUUUAAAAAAUACAUUAUUGAGGCAAGCUGUCAAUUCCCAUGAGGCAUUUGAUUAAUAAUUUUCAAAGCUUCAAUAGGAUAAGCAUUACCACGUCAAUGAAGGCUGUGAUACAGGAACAUCACAAGAGCCACUUGUAUCAGCACUGUAGAAACUGAUUAUCAUAGACUUCUGCAAGCUACAUCAUCUAAAUCAGAAAGGCAUACAUGUAAAAGAAAAGAAGGACAAGGAAGGCAGUACCAUAAUUACCUUUGACUGAGAAAAGACCAAGGAUUUUUGCAAUGGAUUUUGACAUUUGGAUUUAUGAAGGAUAACAAAAUUCAGAAACACAGAUGUUUGCUGCAAAACUUUGACUUUAUUGCAGCCUUCCAAGAGAGUUCUCCUGAACUGUGGUUAAUGGGAGCCCAGACAAUAAGAUAUGGCAAGUAUUCAGAGCUGCUGUUGUAAGGACAGAGUCCUUAGAGUAGGUUUAGAUUAUGUUCCCCUAUUUAGGGGACAAUGUGCCUGCUGAGGACCUGGUCAGCAAAGCCUACAGUUGCUCCUCAUAGGAAGAAGUCCAAGGUUCUCUGCAGCUGAGACAGAACUUGAGACUUCUCUCAGAGUAUUUAUUAUACUAAAAAUGUAAUGAAUAAGAAUUUUUAUCAUCACCAUAAUUUUUCCAACUGGCUGUUGCCACAACUUAUCCUUCAUCACUAGUGUAGACUUUUAAAGGAAGUUGUACAUGAAAACAAAUCUUAGUAAGAGCUGGGCCAUUAACAGACUCCUAUAUAUUCUUGUCAACUGUAGUUUUCUCAUGAGGCAGGAUUUACAUAUACUAGUUCUUUCUCAUUAAUUGAUUUUCUUGUACUUAUGUGAAUUUAAAUGUGUGUUCUUGUAAGUUCACACUCAGAAAUAUAAAAAUUAGAAUAGUACACCCAAAGAAGUACACCACUAAUAACUUCAGAUUUUGGCAUAGAUAAGCUAAAUCAGAAGUAAUUGAGGCUUCAAAACAUAGAAUGAUGAGUAUGCAGAGAGACACUACAUUUGCUGGGAUACAGGACACAAAAGAGGGUAGCAAAAGUCAAUCUAAAAUUACUGCUGCUGUAUUUUUCAGGCACUACCUUUAAAGCAAAUCCUGCCUAGGAAAAGGUUUAGAGUUUGGUGAUGGACAAUUCUAUUCACAUAAACUUGGGUAAAAAUUGCAUAAAAAAUAAGCCCAGUAAUACAAAGUACAAGUAGUGGAAUUGCAGUCUUUGGCAAAAAUUAAUUGGGCAUGAGCUGGGUUUUUUUCCAACCCAGGUCACAUACAUGUCCUACAGAAAACCUAGUACUACCACUUCAUCAGUUCAGAAAUUAUACACAAUAGUUUUCAUCCACUGAUCACCUAUUUCACCCAAAGAUCUCAAAGCAUUUCAAAUAGAAUCAGUAUCCUUCUUUCCAUCCUCUCAAGCACUCAGACUUUAGAAAGCUGAAUUUAUCUUAAGAACUUAAGGCCACACACUGAUUAAACUAAGAGGAACAGCAUCUGUAUCUAAUUUUCUACAAUUUUCUAAUUUUGUAAGCAUUUGCAUAGGGAAAUCAUGUUAAAGAUUCAAUUAGAAAUACCAUUACUGUUGAGAAGAAAGGGCUGACAUGUCAAAUUAACAUAAGCUUUUUUUUUGUUUUUAAUGUUAUAAAUACUUUUGUGAGAAAUUGAGAAAAUGUAGCUAUACAAGUUGGGGAAAACAAUUUGUAAGGAUACAUUAAAGGAAAAAAAAAUCAGUAUCUUCACAGAAGCCAGCAUGCAAAAAGGAGGACACUGAUCCAGAAAUAAUUAUACUGGGAAAUAGGAUAAAGAAGAUAAAAAUAGCUGUCAUUAAACUGUUAUUUUUCUUCCAGUUGUCCUGUAAUACAAUGGGUUUUGUCCACUGCCUAAACUAUUUUGUCUCUCAUGUAUUAGCACAUAUAUGAAAAGAUGCCACAGCUGAAUGAGACUGUAUGUUUAUAUAGUUAUAUAUAAAAAUAUAUUACCUACUAUAUACAAGAACUAAUAAGCAUAAUACUACAAAAAUAGUGAAGGAAAUAGAAACUGUUUAGAUGAAGCAAAUAUGUACUUCAGAUGGAUCUAAUUUUAAAUUGAUGGACUUUUUCACUAUUAUCAAGUUUGAAUGAGGCUAUGGAAAGUAAAAUUAUUAACAAGGAAGCAGAAAGAGAUGAGGAAUGGGAACAGAGGGACACAAUCCCAUGAAACCAUAGGCUUGAUAGCAGGUAUUGUAAUAAAUCUGCUAAACUAUAGCCCUGCUUAAUUGGAAAAUCCACUGUCCGUGCUUAUGCUGUAACCACUGUCUGUGCAAAUUAAUAAUGUACAGUCUUGGAUAAAAGCACAUGUGGGGGUUUUUGGUUGUUGUUAGUAGUCAUAGCCAUUAUAUUGGUCGUGCUGGGACAGGCACUACACAACUGCUGACUAGGACUGCCUUUGUUCAAGGUUCUAAGGUACAGCCCAACUCUUUCGGGUGCUCUGUGGCCAAGGUCUAGAGCACAGUGUAGAUCACUGCCAUGCUUUCGUGAUGUUCAGCAAAACCAGGAAUCCGGAUUACAUCUCUUCUUCCUUAAAUCUAUCAAUAAGAAUGGUCUGGAGGAAAUUUCAUGUUCCAAAUCAGAUUUCCUAAGCUUUCUCUGCAUUUCUGUAUUUGCAAGGGUUCUGAUGAUGACAGUAGAAGAUGGGAGAGUUCACUAAGUCAUACAAACAGGACUAGGAUAUCAUGCAUAUAUGAAGAGCUAUCAAAGAUCCACUUCAAUCCACUCUUGACGUUGUGUUUAUUUAUUUUUCUAUUUAAAGAUUAAAAUGAUCAAUUUUUAUUAGUGUCAGUAACCUGAUAAGCCUCUGAGUACAGUAGUUUCACGAAUACAAGCCGCACGGAUUAUAAGCCGCACCCCCGGUGCCUCGACAAUGUUGCUGUCUUUGUCAAUAGAUAAGCCGCACCCCGAAUAUUAGCCGCACUUUCGUUCGUCGCGAGAAUCCGUGCGCAGCUUUCACAAAUUGGCCAAUUAGUAACAGGAUCGCGGCAUAGCGGGCUUUACUGGCUC